rnacentral:rRNA from 1 species
GACCAAGAAGUCUAACAUGUGUGCGAGUCAUUGGGUAUAUUGUUGAAACCUAAGGGCGAAAUUAAAAUAACUAUUUUAUGGGAUUACAAGUGAAUUAAUUUUCAUUUCUCCAUCCCGGGGCGUUCUAUACGAACAUGGUUCAAGCAAUUGGGCCCUCUGUUCAAGAGCGUACCUUGAGCAUACAUGCUGUGACCCGAAAGAUGGUGAACUAUACCUGAUCAGAUCGAAGCCAGGAGAAAUUCUGGUGGAGGAUCGAAACAGUUCUGACGUGCAAAUCGAUUGUCAGAAUUGGGUAUAGGGGCGAAAGACCAAUCGAACCAUCUAGUAGCUGGUUCCCUCCGAAGUUUCCCUCAGGAUAGCUGGCGCAAAGAAUUAUAUUAAAUAUAAUCUUAUCUGGUAAAGCGAAUGAUUAGAGGCCUUGGGGCCGAAACGACCUCAACCUAUUCUCAAACUUUAAAUGGGUAAGAACCUCAUCUUUCUUGAUCUGAAGAUAUUGGGGUUUAGAUAUAUUGUGCCCAGUGGGCCACUUUUGGUAAGCAGAACUGGCGCUGUGGGAUGAACCAAACAUGAUGUUACGGCGCCUAAAUUAAUGACUCAUAUUGAUACCAUGAAAGGCGUUGGUUGCUUAAAACAGCAGGACGGUGGACAUGGAAGUCGUAAUCCGCUAAGGAGUGUGUAACAACUCACCUGCCGAAGCAACUAGCCCUUAAAAUGGAUGGCGCUCAAGUCAUAUGCCUAUACAUCAUCGCUAGAAUAAAAAUUGUUGACUUUAUGGUGAUCAUUGUGAAAUUCUAGUGAGUAGGAGGGUACAAUGGUGUGCGCAGAAGUGUUUGGCGUGAGCCUGCAUGAAGCCGCCAUUGGCACAGAUCUUGGUGGUAGUAGCAAAUAAUCGAAUGAGAUCUUGGAGGACUGAAGUGGAGAAGGGUUUCGUGUGAACAGUGGUUGAUCACGAGUUAGUCGGUCCUAAGCUUUAUGCGAAAGCUGUUUAAUUUAUGUUACACAUUAUUUAUUUAUUUGAUGUACAUAAUUCAAUAAAAGCGAAAGGGAAUACGGUUCCAAUUCCGUAACCUGUUGAGUAUACGUUUGUUUAUUAAAAAUGGGUCUUAUUACACUCAUCCUGGCAACAGGAACGACCAUAGAGAAGCUUUCGAGAGAUACUGGAAGAGUUUUCUUUUCUGCUAAACAAACGUAUCACCAUGGAAGUCUUUUAUAGAGAGAUAUGGUGAAUGGCUUGGAAGAGCAUGACAUUUACUGUUGUGUCAGUAUUUUCUCCUUGGACCUUGAAAAUCUAUGGUGGGGCCACGCAAACUUCUCAACAGACCGUACCGAUAUCCGCAGCCGGUCUCCAAGGUGAAGAGUCUCUAGUCGAUAGA